rnacentral:rRNA from 1 species
AUUCCAGCUCCAAUAGCGUAUAUUAAAGUUGUUGCGGUUAAAAAGCUCGUAGUUGGAUUUCUGCCGAGGACGACCGGUCCGCCCUCUGGGUGAGCAUCUGGCUCGGCCUGGGCAUCCUCUUGGAGAACGUAGCUGCACUUGACUGUGUGGGGCGGUAUCCAGGACUUUUACUUUGAGGAAAUUAGAGUGUUUCAAGCAGGCAUACGCCUUGAAUACAUUAGCAUGGAAUAAUAAGAUAGGACCUCGGUUCUAUUUUGUUGGUUUCUAGAGCUGAGGUAAUGAUUAAUAGGGACAGUUGGGGGCAUUAGUAUUUAAUUGUCAGAGGUGAAAUUUUUGGAUUUAUGAAAGACUAACUACUGCGAAAGCAUUUGCCAAGGAUGUUUUCAUUA